CGUAGGUGGCAAGGCGUUGUCCGGAUUUAUUGGGUUUAAAGGUGCGUAGGCGGUUCCAUAAGUCAGUGGUGAAAUACGGCAGCUCAACUGUCGAGGUGCCAUUGAUACUGCGGAACUUGAGUACUGAUGAGGUAGGCGGAAUUGACGGUGUAGCGGUGAAAUGCUUAGAUAUCGUCAAGAACACCGAUAGCGAAGGCAGCUUACCAAGCAGUAACUGACGCUGAGGCACGAAAGUGCGGGGAUCAAACAGGAUUAGAUACCCUGGUAGUCCGCACAGUAAACGAUGAUUACUCGAUGUUGGCGAUACACAGCCAGCGUCUUAGCGAAAGCGAUAAGUAAUCCACCUGGGGAGUACGCCCGCAAGGGUG
rnacentral:rRNA from 1 species